AGUCAUCAACCCCCUGCCGUUUGUCUCGGCUGCGGGUUGGAAAUGGGGGCCUGCCGCCGAGAGGUGGCUCCCCUUAAAUGCAUCGGUUGGGCCUGUGGGUCGGACUCGAUUGGGCGUUGUACCAUCCUCGCUCUAAUGAGAUGUUCCCCUUCUUUGUGCCCCUCCACGACUUGCCUUUUGAGUGGCGGUCAAACAUAACUUUGAAA
rnacentral:misc_RNA from 1 species